GAGUAAACCUCCCAAAUUCCAGGUGUCUCCUAUCUACCAGAUGUUUCUUUUUUUUAUCCUAUAGAAGUUAUUCUGGGAGCCACUGCUUUGUAUAAAUUAUUAAAUGUUUGUCACAGCAACAAUUUUCACUCAGCUGGAAUGACGUGACAUCAAAUACCCUCCCUGUGGUCACAUAAAUAUUCAAUUGGUGUGAAAUAGGCUUUGGGAGAGCAGAGAUUUGAAUUAUUUCUUAUACUUUCCAGAACCUUCAUAGUGAUACUUUGGUACUGGUAGAUGCAGUUCCAUUAACAACGAAGGAAAAGGGGAGGAAAACCUAGGACUGAAUGCCCAGGUAUGGGUGGGGUGCAGACAGAUAAAUCCAAGGCCAGAAAGGCUCAGAAAAUAAACAUUUGAGGUUUUUAAAAUUUUAAUAUCCCUAAUAUCUUAUCUCUCCCUUACUCUGCUGAUUGUUAAAACAGGGCCUUGUUGAUUCCUAGAGGACAAAAUUCAUGGAUCAAAACAGUAUGCAGUUUUAAAACUGUUCUUUUCAAUUACUUGUAACUGGAUUAUUUUCUAGUUUCAGCAGCUUCUGGUUAAAAAAAAAAAAAAAAAAAAGAAAAAAAUUUGGAGUAGCUCCUGCUAGCCACUGCCUUCUGCAAGCAAUAGUCUGCUUCCUAGCAAUUGUAAAAUCUACAUCCAUGUUAUUGUCACAUUACCUCUGUACUAUCUCUGUUACUUUCUCUAUCCAGGCCUGUAAAGGAGGCUACAUCAAUGCACUUCACGGGUGCUUCAAGUCCUGUCUCUGACCUUUUCUGAGGUGCAUAAAUCCAUCUCUGUGCAAAAUACGCCCUAGGUGCCAGCCUGAUACAGCUCCACAAGCACAGAGUUCGUGUGAGCAAUCCCCUGGGAAGGAGGAAGAACAGUGAGCUGUGUUCUAACAAUUCCUCAGGGUCAAGAUGAACUAAUGUGCGUUAUUACCAUUUUUCCUGUCAGACACCACCAGGGAAGAGGUCCAGUUUGCUUCAGAUAAAAUGUGAAAUAAGAAAACUGAGAUGCGUAACAGAAGAGAAAAAUCUCACAAUAUAGAAGCUUUCCUACCUGAAAAAUUUGUAUAGGUAUGU